rnacentral:rRNA from 1 species
CAAGAGCGUAUAUUAAAGUUGUUGCAGUUAAAAAGCUCGUAGUUGGAUUUCUGGUACAAUGCGCCUGGCCCGCGACCGUCAGGUCUGUGAGUGCCGGUGCGCGUUUGCCAUCCUUCUAGAAAACGUUUCUACCCUUCACUGGGCCGGAUUCGCGAUCUAGAUCUUUUACUUUGAAAAAUUAGAGUGUUUAAAGCAGGCUUAUGCCGUUGAAUAUAUUAGCAUGGAAUAAUAAGAUAGGACUUCGGAACUAUUUUGUUGGUUUGCGUUACGAAGUAAUGAUUAAUAGGGACAGUUGGGGGUAUUCGUAUUUCGUUGUCAGAGGUGAAAUUCUUGGAUUUCCGAAAGACGAACUACUGCGAAAGCAUUUACCAAGGAUGUUUUCAUUAAUCAAGAACGAAAGUUAGGGGAUCGAAGAUGAUCAGAUACCAU